CUGACAGGGUCUCACUUUGUCGCCCGGGCAGGAGUGCAGUGGCUCAAUCUUGGGCUCACUGCAGCCUCAACCUCCCAGGUUCAAGCGAUUCUCCUGCCUCAGCCCCUCAAGUAGCUGGGACUACAAGCGCACACCACCACGCCUGACUAAUUUUUUGUAUUUUUUUGUAGAGGCGGGGUUUCACCAUGUUGCCCAGACUGGUCUUGAACUCCUGAGCUUAAGCAAUCCACCUGCCUCGGCCUCCCAAAGUGUUGGGAUCACAGGCGUGAGCCACCGCAUCCGGCCUCAUGUUCUUUUUCAUUAAAGAGAGAAAUCAACUAUUCAGGACCGGCCCCCACCUUUCCUCAGGAGUCAUUUCUGUUCCGCACAGGCCUGCUGAACUGGGUGCUUUAUAUAGGACACUGUCAUCUCUCAAGUACCCAUCUUGGAGGGUACGGACCCCACAUGAGGAUUUCAGUGGAGUGAAGUUCAGGAGGCAUGGAGCUGACAACCAUGAGGCCUCGGCAGCCACCGCCACCACCGCCGCCGCCACCACCGUAGCAGCAGCAGCAGCAGCAGCAGCAGCAGCAGCAGCAGCAAGAGUAACUCUGACUUAGGAAUAGAGACAGCCAGAGAGAAAUGUGAUCAAUGAAGGAGACAUCUGGAGUGUGCGUGCUUCUUCAGAGGGACGGGUGAUGGGCAGAUUGGAAAAAGCACCGCAGAUGGGAACCUUAAUCUUUCUUUUCUAAAAUUGAUGCUAUGAAAAUUUGCGUUUUCUGUAACUUGUAAAAACUAAAAGUUGCUUGUCUACUGAAAA
rnacentral:lncRNA from 10 species